rnacentral:misc_RNA from 1 species
UAGAUACAAAUUGACCAUGCAAAAGAAAUUUGUCAAAUCAAACAUUCAAACAUUAUUUAGGUGUGCAAUGGUAUAGAAAUUAAGUGAUAGAAAAUUGGACAUACAAUGACAUUACAAAAUCUGCGAUAAUUAUGCGCCUUAAGUUUGUAAGAACGCUGUUAGUGCUUGCACUGUUAGGUAAUAUCAUUGUAUGGCAUAGAAUAUGGAGGUUAUUUACAGCACAAAAUACUUUGCGGUUGUUGACACCAAGCAUGGUAACUCCUGAUCCUCCGCAGAAACUUCAUCGACGAUUAGCUCGAUUAGUAACUGUAGUCAUUCGACAGUUUGAAACAUUUGAAAAUGAUGUGACCUCCACUGUGGAAUCUGUAUUGAACUUUUUUCCUACUAUGCCUAUUUUAAUAGUAUGCAAUGAGUUACCAUAUCCACCACUCCAAUUAGAUUUUGCCAAUGAAAGCAUGCAAAAUGUUAAAUUAAUAAGUGUGGAACCAGAAUUCAAUAAAUCUUACGAUGAAAGAAAUCCACUUUUCUAUAUACGUACAAAGUACGUUUUAUUUUUGCCCGAUGGUAGCAGACUUUCUUCUAAACAAGUCAUGCAAGAUACUAUAACACAAGCAGCAAAAUUUGGCAUAGUAACUAUACCAAUAGGAAGCAUAACAUUAAAUUGCAUCAAUAUAGAUUUAAAAAUAAAAGAAUGGAGUCUUAGAUUUUCACAUACUGCAGGCAAUGAAUGUGAUAGUGUGAAUGGAAAACAUGCUACAAUGUUUGAAACAAAAUUAUUAAGGAAAUUAAGUGAUCCUUUCCUUUUACCUUUUACUGAUGCUUUGUAUAUUCAAACAACUGCAUUAAGUAUAAAGAUUCACAUAUUGUCAGAUUUUCAAUUUAAUGAAGGAAAACCAUUGUAUAGAAAUCAGCAGUCUCAAUGGAAACUGCAACAGUUGUACCAAAGCCGUGAACGAUCAAUGUUUGAAAAGCUAGGAAUUAAAAAGAUAGCGGAAUUGAUAGUGAUCCAAAAACCACUAAUCAUCUUGAAGAUGAAAGACUUUUCCUGGGUAGCGAUAGUAGCUGCAGCAGUAAUCAAACACAAACAUUGCAACAUAAUUCUACUACUAAGCAGCUGCAAAGAAAACUUGAGGCACGAAUUGAACAAGCAAAGCGUAUUCAGCGUAAUUCAGAUUAUGUAAAAUUGCCAAAGUAUGAUAAGGUUUGCGGAGGUGGCAGUAGCACAACUGGUUUGAUGCCCAUUCAAAGACUUCCUAUACCAAAUAAAAAUAAGGAACAUCUUCCUCUUGUUGAAUAUUGGCAUUGUGACAGCGAAAGCGAAGGUGAAAUGACUCUGUUUCCAACAAGUAAAUCAAAAGAUUCUUCGAAGCAUAAACAAGAUCUUACUGACACAUUUAGCAU